UAACCUGGUUGAUCCUGCCAGUAGUCAUAUGCUUGUCUCAAAGAUUAAGCCAUGCAUGUCUAAGUAUAAGCUUUUAUACAGUGAGACUGCGAAUGGCUCAUUAAAACAGUUAUAGUUUAUUUGCUAUUCGUUUAUAUGGAUAACCGUAGUAAUUCUAGAGCUAAUACAUGCAUUAUUCGCGACUCACGAAGCGUAGUAUUUAUUAGAUAAGCACCACGGGCUUCGGCUUGUGUGAGGAAUCAUAAUAACUGAGCGAACUACCAUCGGUAGUGAAGCAUUCAAGUUUCUGCCCUAUCAGCUUUCGAUGGUAGUGUAUUGGACUACCAUGGCGUUGACGGGUAACGGAGAAUUAGGGUUCGAUUCCGGAGAGGGAGCCUGAGAAACGGCUACCACAUCUAAGGAUGGCAGCAGGCGCGCAAAUUACCCAAUCCUAACUCAGGGAGGUAGUGACAAGAAAUAACAACUUCGGGCUUGCCCGAGAUUGGAAUGAGUACAACGUACAAUCUUUAACGAGUACCAACUGGAGGGCAAGUCUGGUGCCAGCAGCCGCGGUAAUUCCAGCUCCAGUAGCGUAUACUAAAGUUGUUGCAGUUAAAAAGCUCGUAGUUGAAUUUCUGUGUAGUGUACUUGCGGUCUCCGGACCAAUAUAUACUGCACAUCCAUCUGAACAGCACUUCUUGUCAUUCAUUUGUCGGUUGUGUGAUCAGAUACUUUACCUUGAGAAAAAUAGAGUGUUCCAAGCAGGCGUCCGCCUGAAUAAUAAAGCAUGGAAUAAUACAAUAGGACUGGGUUCUAUUGGUGCAUAGAACUUAGUAAUGAUUAAUAGGGACAGUUGGGGGCAUUUGUAUUUAAUUGUCAGAGGUGAAAUUCUUUGAUUUAUUAAAGACAAACCUAUGCGAAAGCAUUUGCCAAGGAUGUUUUCAUUAAUCAAGAACGAAAGUUAAGGGAUCGAAGACGAUCAGAUACCGUCGUAGUCUUAACCAUAAACUAUGCCGACUAGAGAUUGGAGGUGCAAUCUCAAUACUCCUUCAGCAUCUUAGGAGAAAUCAAAGUCUUUGGGUUCUGGGGGUAGUAUGGUCGUAAGACUGAAACUUAAAGGAAUUGACGGAAGGGCACCACAAGGUGUGGAGCCUGCGGCUUAAUUUGACUCAACACGGGGAAACUUACCAGGUCCAGACAUGGGAAGGAUUGACAGAUUGGAGAUCUUUCUUGAUUCCAUGGAUGGUGGUGCAUGGCCGUUCUUAGUUGGUGGAGUGAUUUGUCAGGUUAAUUCCGAUAACGAACGAGACCUCAGCCU
rnacentral:rRNA from 1 species